CCUCGACCAAGUUACUUAACAGGAAUGCGCAGAGUUUGUUCUUUAGAGUUCAGGCCUCACCUGAUGAAUUCUCCAGAUUCUGGAUUAGCUGAUCCUCUUUUAGGUUCUGCUGGAUCUUCUGGGGGUUCAGAGCGCAGUUUACUUCCGCAAUCAAUUAUUUAUAAUUGGAGCUGUGGUCACUUCUCAAAGCCUCUUCUUAAUACAGCAGAUGAUACUGAAGAAAUGUUGGUUAGAAGAGAAGAAAGGGAAAAGUUUGCACUGGAGCACAUUGCCAAGUGUCAACACUCAUCUGUUAGCAGGUUAGAUAAUCAAAUUGCUGGUUGGGACACAAAGUUUGAAACAGGAACAAAGGCAGCGUUGUUGCAGCCUUUCUCUCCUAUUGUCAUUGCUGCUGAUGAAAAUGAGCGGAUAAAGAUAUGGAAUUAUGAGGAUGCAGUCCUUCUCAACGGAUUUGAUAAUCAUAAUUUUCCUGACAAAGGAAUUUCUAAACUCUGCCUUGUAAAUGAACUUGAUGACAGUUUGCUUCUUGUUGCUUCAUGUGAUGGAAGUAUUCGGAUUUGGAAAGAUUAUGCACUCAACGGUAAACAAAAACUUGUUACUGCAUUUUC
rnacentral:misc_RNA from 1 species